CUACGGGGCGCAGCAGUAGGGAAUAUUGCACCAUGGGCGAAAGCCUGAUGCAGCAACGCCGCGUGAGCGAUGAAGGCCCUCGGGUCGUAAAGCUCUUUUCAAGGGGAAGAGGAAGGACGGUACCCUUGGAAUAAGUCUCGGCUAACUACGUGCCAGCAGCCGCGGUAAAACGUAGGAGGCGAGCGUUAUCCGGAUUUACUGGGCGUAAAGCGCGUGUAGGCGGUACAGCAAGUUGGAUGUGAAAGCUCCUGGCUUAACUGGGAGAGGUCGUUCAAAACUGCUGAACUAGAGUACGGUAGAGGAAAAUGGAAUUCCGGGUGUAGUGGUGAAAUGCGUAGAUAUCCGGAGGAACACCAGAGGCGAAAGCGAUUUUCUGGACCGAAACUGACGCUCAGACGCGAAAGCUAGGGUAGCAAACGGGAUUAGAUACCCCAGUAGUC
rnacentral:rRNA from 1 species